GGAAUCCGAGAAUUUCACCUCUGACAAUUGAAUACGAAUACCCCCAUCUGUCCCUAUUAAUCAUUACUACGGUGCGCAAACCAACAAAAUAGUACCGCAGUCCUAUCUUAUUAUUCCAUGCUAAUAUAUUCAAUGGCAUCAGCCUGCUUUGAACACUCUAAUUUUUUCACAGUAAAUGAUGGGGAUCCCCUGCCCGACAACCUAAUGCCAGACAGGCUCUCCCCAAGGAUGGCCGGAGACAAUGCAAGUACCCACACACAGUGUCGGACCGAUCGCUCCCACCAGAAAUCCAACUACGAGCUUUUUAACCGCAACAACUUUAAUAUACGCUAUUGGAGCUGGAAUUACCGCA
rnacentral:misc_RNA from 1 species